AUGCCGGGCGUGGCGGCCAGGUCGGCCAGCGCCGCCUUCAGCGUGGCGACGCUGUCGCCCAGGUUCGAUCCCAGUCCGAUGUA
rnacentral:tRNA from 1 species